CUCUUGGCCGUCGGGACUUGUACUGUUGGUGACUCCGUCUCCUUAGACGGUGGAGCCUGCGUGACCCAGAAAGGCCAUGGUGAGCUCCUUAGAGGGAAGUAUAGUACAUAUUUCCUCCAUGUCUCCAGUACCCAACACAGUGCCUGACGUUGAGAGGGCUCUUAAUAAGUGUUUGUGAAAGACUGGUAGAGCAAUGCCCUAUGAAACAAGAAGCUGGAUAACACUGCUUAGGACUCAGAGGAGAGAGGAGUGUGGUCUACACUGCACAUCUCUGCCAAGCCUGGCACGGGAUUUGAAGUUCCACACCACUGAGCCAAACACAUCCAGACCCUCUUCCAACCCGGGGAUCUGGUGGUAAGCAAAAUACUAUUCCAGCAAGUGAUGCCCCCAGUCUCCUAAGGAUAUAAGAAACAGGAAGUUGUGUUUGGCUGCGGACAAACUCUCUCAGUGCCCCUGGGACUUACAAGAUGUUUGGAAUGAGGAACGGCAGCUCUCCCAAUGCGAGCUCAGCGGAGGCCCCCAGAAAAACGUGGGGAGGAGAGUUUUCCCCAUAAGACAGACUGUCCUUCAGCCCCGGCCACCAAAGAGGAGUAACCCGGGCCUGCUGUUCUCUGGGACUGAAUGCGGCUGCAUCCUUCCCUUCCUCUGCUUCCUGUCCCGGUACUUACUGACGGUGCACAUGCGGGGCUUGGGGAAGCUGAGUGUCUAACCGCGGUGCAGCUACGGAUGGGAAAUUCUGGGCAGGGACGAGCCUGUCUUCACCUGAGGAAUUCCCUCCCACAUCACACAGGGCAGAGUGGGAGUGGAGGAGGGCAGAGGACACGUCUCAGGGCCAGUAACCUAGGCUUAUAGAAGACGUCAUCACCGUCCUCAUGAUGUUCACCCCGUCUCCUGUUUUUUGGGGCCAUGUGUUCCGAAAUGUAGCUUCAACUCAUCAUAGGGGCAAAAAGAAGUGAUGAGUCUGUGGCAGCAGAAAUCUGGGAAUCCAAGGGUCGUGCUACAUCUAGUCCUCUUUGAUAAAUUCUGCCUUCCUGUUCACAUUUUUCGAGAAACCAUUUUGAAUUCCCAAACAGCAAAGGAAAUGCUGCAGGUUCCUGGAGGGACCUGGUGAUCUGGGGCAGAGCACACGGAGUCGAGAUUGCUGCGGGGUUCACGAGCCUCCCCUCCUGGGACCAGGGGCACCUGGGCAGGGUAGUCUGCACCACGCAGGAAAGCCCAGUACACGCAGCUGCUCAACGCUGCAGACGCCAUAGCGCAGGGCUGACAAGGCCUCCCUCUUUAUCUGCCCUGGACCACAAGUGGAAAAUAUCAAGACAAAGCAAAAGCCAGUAUCCCUUAAGAACUUUCCAAUUGUUCUUGUCAUUUGUAGUUUUGUUUUUUGGGGGGUGUGGGGAGGGAGGGGUGGUUUGAAACAACUCCGGAGCACACUCCAGAGGAAAACAGGAAGGGUGACAUGUUUGGACACCAGAAAAGAGGAAGAGUCCUCACUAAGAGGGUGACUUGGUUAAAAAGUUCAAGCACAAAGGAUGUAGAAGCAGGUGGAUGUCAUCAGAGAACAGAUGCGGAUC
rnacentral:lncRNA from 1 species